UACAGAGGGGGCAAGCGUUGUUCGGAAUUACUGGGCGUAAAGGGCUCGUAGGCGGCCAACUAAGUCGGACGUGAAAUCCCUCAGCUUAACUGGGGAACUGCGUCCGAUACUGGAUGGCUUGGAUUCGGGAGAGGGAUGCGGAAUUCCAGGUGUAGCGGUGAAAUGCGUAGAUAUCUGGAGGAACACCGGUGGCGAAGGCGGCAUCCUGGACCGAUAUUGACGCUGAGGAGCGAAAGCCAGGGGAGCAAACGGG
rnacentral:rRNA from 1 species